GUUUGCAGGAAGCUGUAAUCAAGAAAAAAUAUGGUGGAUUACUACCAAGAAAAACCCCUUUAAUCUCAAAGGAUCAUGAUCGUGCUUUCUUUGAUUCUGCAGAUUGGGCACUAGGAAAGGGGUCACAAAAGAGCAAAGGACCUUUAGAGGCACUACGCCCAAAAUUGCAA